rnacentral:rRNA from 1 species
CCUACGGGAGGCAGCAGUGAGGAAUAUUGGUCAAUGGACGAGAGUCUGAACCAGCCACGUAGCGUGAAGGAUGACUGCCCUAUGGGUUGUAAACUUCUUUUAUAUGGGAAUAAAAUGUUCCACGUGUGGGAUUUUGUAUGUACCAUAUGAAUAAGGAACGGAUAACUCCGUGCCAGCAGCCGCGGUAAUACGGAGGAUCCGAGGGUUAUCCGGAUUUCUUGGGUUUAAAGGGAGCGUAGGUGGAUUGUUAAGUCAGUUGUGAACGUUUGCGGCUCAACCGUAAAAUUGCAGUUGAAACUGGCAGUCUUGAGUACAGUAGAGGUGGGCGGAAUUCGUGGUGUAGCGGUGAAAUGCUUAGAUAUCGCGAAGAACUCCGAUUGCGAAGGCAGCUCACUGGACUGCAACUGACACUGAGGCUCGAAAGUGUGGGUAGCAAACAGGAUUAGAUACCCUUGUAGUC